rnacentral:rRNA from 1 species
AGCGAACGCUGGCGGCAGGCUUAACACAUGCAAGUCGAGCGGGCACUUCGGUGUCAGCGGCAGACGGGUGAGUAACACGUGGGAACGUACCCUUCGGUUCGGAAUAACGCUGGGAAACUAGCGCUAAUACCGGAUACGCCCUUUUGGGGAAAGGUUUACUGCCGAAGGAUCGGCCCGCGUCUGAUUAGCUAGUUGGUGGGGUAAUGGCCUACCAAGGCGACGAUCAGUAGCUGGUCUGAGAGGAUGAUCAGCCACACUGGGACUGAGACACGGCCCAGACUCCUACGGGAGGCAGCAGUGGGGAAUAUUGGACAAUGGGCGCAAGCCUGAUCCAGCCAGGCCGCGUGAGUGAUGAAGGCCUUAGGGUUGUAAAGCUCUUUUGUCCGGGACGAUAAUGACGGUACCGGAAGAAUAAGCCCCGGCUAACUUCGUG